GGGAAGAAACAGGGCGAAGAAGUACAUGAGGAGAGUUGAAGGGUGGGUGGCCGUUAUAGAUCAGGUGGCCAAGGAGGGCCUCACUGCAUAGGAGGCAUUUGAAGGCAAUGAGGGGGUGAGGCACUGAGCUGUGAGGGCAGAGUGUGCUCCAAGUGGGCCUGGGGGGAGAGGGGGCAUGGCUGCUGGAGGAAGAGCCUGGAGACUGGUGUAGCUGGACUGCAAAGAAUGGAGUCCGAGCUCGGGAGGUGGGGGUUAGGAGGAGAUCUGUGAGGCCUCGUGGCCGCCAUGAGGACUUUGGCUUUGCCGCUGAGUAAGAUGAGAAGCCUGAGGCCAGAAAGCAGCAGCAACUGGUGACAUCCCAGCCCUUGUCUUUGCCUGCAAAGAAUGGAGGCCUGGAAUUCCUACCAGAAGAUACAGAAACAACCAACAUGCAUAGACAAGCUGCUUGGAGGCCAGGAUGUACAAACAGAGAAAUGUCUUUUCCCACCAACCAGAAUGGUCCUAAUGAUGUACUACUCUUGGGUAAAUUGAGCCGAUAAUCACUGGAAUCGUUUCCUGUGUGCCCAGUGCAGAUGGGAAAACAACUGAGAAGCCAUCUGCCCUGGCUGAAAAAAUAUGGCCAUUAGACCCGUGUGCGCCCCUGGGCGGUGAUGCCAGUGGAGGUAUGGUAGCCCCAGAGGCUCCCCAAGAGGGUAUUGGUGCCCGUAGAGAUAAGCUGCUGUCCUCUCGAGUGGAAAGGAUGCAGUGCAACCAAUUUGCCAUCAGGUGGCCGGCCAGCCUCUUCAAGGGGUGACCACAUCAAGGACCUGGCAUUGGUCUCCACUGCUGGAAGGGGGACAUCUGCUACAGUGGGGGUGGCAUGCUGGGGCCCACACACCGAGUCUGCCCUGCUGCUGCGCCUCCUCUGUUCACAGACCCACUGUGCCAAUGCCAGAGUGGCCCCAGGGCAAGUCAGUCUGGGCCUGCUUGUCACCGUUCUCCUCCAGGCUAGAUGCACGUACGCCAUGCCCAUCCAGGAAUCGACUCCCCAGACCUCCUUGGCUCGGGUCUUCCCUACUUCCAAAGAUGUGACCAACCAUCCAGGCUCCUGCCUAUUUCCCAGAGUCCACACAUCACUGUCCGUCAGGCUGCUUUUCCCUUUUCCUCAGCGAGCAACUCAGCACUCCAGGGCCAUCUCUCCCCACCAGUCUCCUUGAGGGACUUGCCACGGGGAUUGCCCGAUGGCAGAGGCCCAUAAUUGGUUGCAGGCCUAUCUGUGAGCCUGGCCUUCAUAUUUUCUCCUCCACCCUUUGACCUGAGGGUCCCCUCCCCCGCAGCUACAGGUGGGCAGAGGCAAUAGAACCACAGAGAUCAGGACUGCAGGAGCCCAGCCUGCCUCGUCGCUGGGCCCGUGCGGAGAUGCACUCAGCCCCAGCCUGAGCUCCCCCAUCUGUCACACCAUGGAUAGCUGCUGGACCUGGCCGCCUUAUGACGAGUGGAUCUGACGGUGACCAUGUCCAGUCACACGGUCACAUGAUGCCCAUCACCAGAUGCUCAGGCCCUCCAGGGGCCCUGGAGCAUUCCAGAAGCUGGGCUCCUGACCUAGCUCUACUUUGGCAUUCUGAGCGUUUACAUAGCAACCUCUUACCAGGGCUGGCCAGCAGCUGCACCUGGGGCCGUGUCUACCACCAUCAGAUCUGCAGGUCAUAUGACUACAGAGCAGCUUGACCACAGUCUGAACCUUCUGGAGAGAGAGAGAGACACUUCUCCUGCUCUGGGCCCCUCCCAUCAACCGGAUGAGUGGGUUGGGGCUGCAUUUCCAAGGGUGAUGUUUGCUGCAUCCUGGGUCCCUUGGCACUGGGGCCUCUUUCUUCAUGGUGGGAGGUGGGAGGGGCAAGAGCCUGUCCUCGCCCCCAAAAAGGGAGUUCCCAGCAUGCCCCAGGCCUCCAGAACCUUACAGUCUUCACCGAUACGGCAAGCCUCACGUGCCUCAGGAGGAUAAUAAGGGUGCUUGCACAACCUGAGUACCGUGACGUCAUCGGGAGAGUGGACCAGCAUGACAAUUGGCACAUAUCCAGACCAGCAGUUCCUUCAGUGGCAUGUCAGGCUUUUUUUUCUCUUGGAUCAAAUCCAAGUGAAACUAAAGGCAAUCCUUUAACCCUGGGAAGCCGCCGUCAUCAUAGGGUCCAUUUCCACACCAGUGACCCAGCUCCAUGUUUCCGAGCCUCUCAGGGAGGUGUCUGGAAUUAUGCUCUUUCCCAGGUUGGUGACGAUUGCUCUGAGUGGUAGGACUCGGGAAUGGUGAUUCAAUUUUGCUUUUCCAUUUUUCUGUCGUGUAUUUUUUUAAAUAAUUAUGUCAAAUUUUUAUUAAGUAACAUUUUAAAAGUUCCCUAUGGAUCCUGUAAGCCUCGGGGCUGCAAUCAGGAGCAUUUAGGUGGGGCUGGUUCUGACUGCAGAGACUAGCACUGAGCCCAGGGAAGGAUGUUCCAGAGGGGGGUUGAGGGUGAACUUGGCCAUGUUUUGGGCCCAGCUUUAUAUCAAGGAGGCAUGAUCAGGUGUGGGGGAGGUAUUGGGACAGUCUCAACCUUCUAGGAGCUGGGAUGCGGGAAACUGGCCGGGGCCCCAAGGAAGAGCAACAACCAGCAAGCAGCCCGGAGGUGGGAGAAGGCUCCAGUGUCAUUAAAGCAGACCCAGUGGGCAGGAGGACUGAAAACAGCCACAGCAAACAUUUAUAUGUGUUCUAGACUCCUUAUCCGUAUUAACUCGUUCCAUUUUCCAAACAACCCAGAAGGAAGAGUCUAUGGAUAUCCCCAUUUUACAGUUGAGGAAACUGACUCAAGGGACAAUUUAAUAACUUGCCUGAAGGAAAGUGAGGUAGGAGUAUAGCUCUAGAUAUGGGCCGGCAUGAAUGCACUUGUGCGUAUAUUAUUUUUUUUAAACAAAUAUUUCCACAUACCCAGUGCUGUUUCUGGUAUUGAAGAAAGAGAAGUUAGCAAACACAUACCCCCAUCUAGCCCCAUAUCCUUGCCAUGAAAGAUGCUAGUGGAAGAAAUAUGUAUUCAAUAUGUACUUGCACAAGCAUAUUGUUACAAACAAAGAUACUUGCCACAAAGCAAAUAAACAGGAAACUGACCUGGCUCAGAGUUCAUAUUCUGGGCAGAGGAAACAGCAUGUGCAAGGGCCCUGUGGUGAGCAAAAGGUUAGCUCCUUAGAGCUUCCAGAAAGGGUGCAAAAUAGAAAGUGUGAGCAAGAGGAGUUUGGUGGGAGAUGGAACUCAGGAUGUGCUCAGGAACUCCAUUUCUUAGACCCUCAUACGCCAGAAUAGGGUUUGUAUUUUAUGCUAAAUACAUUGGGAAGCUAUUGAAAGGUCUUGUCUGGGGACACUCUAAUGCUACAUGGAAUCAGAAGGCAAAGGGGAAGCGGAAAGACCCAUUAGAAGGCUAGUAGAGUACAGCGAGUGAGAGAUAAUGGUUGCCUGGCCCGCAGUGAUGAGAAGGGAGAGGAGAGGCUGCCCCUCUUCGGAGCAGACUUCUGGAAGCCCCUCCCUCCCCACCACUUCUCAUAUCCCUUCAGCGGAGGAGCCUGGGAAUUGUGAUCUUUGUUCCACUGAAGACCUUGUGCUCACUGAAGAGUCUGGUACCCCGUUUCUAAGGAAGAAAUGAGGGCCGGAUAUCGAGGCAGGCAUCCAGCAGCCUUGCUCGGUGAUGUUAGAGUUGAUGGUGGUGGUAAUGCUGGUGGUGACAGUGGUGGCAGAGGUCAGUUAUAGGCGAUGGUGGAGGUCAUGACCAGGUCUGUGGUGGGCAUGGUGGUGUCCCUGUUGGCAGGGCAGUGAUGGGGAAGGUGGGGAUCCAUGUAGGGGUGGUUGACUGUGAGGUGAUCACGAAGGUGGCAGUGGCAGAGGUGAUGGUGAUGUCUGUGGUGACAGGGAUGGCCAUGUUGGCACUGAGUAGGUGACAGUGUUGGUGGUGGUGGUUGAUGCUUGUGGCAACAGGGUUGGUGGUCAUACUGGUGGAUGUGCUGGUCGUGAUGGCAUGAAUGGCAUUUGCAUUGGUGGCGAUGACAACCUUGUGCUGGUGUUGACGUUGAUGUUGCUGGCGGUGGUCUGGAUUUCGCUGCGACACGAGU